UAAGGAAUAUUGGACAAUGGUCGCAAGACUGAUCCAGCCAUGCCGCGUGCAGGAAGACGGCCCUAUGGGUUGUAAACUGCUUUUGUACCAGAGAAAACCUAUCUACGUGUAGAUAGCUGAUAGUAUGGUAAGAAUAAGCAUCGGCUAACUUCGUGCCAGCAGCCGCGGUAAGACGAAGGAUGCAAGCGUUAUCCGGAUUCAUUGGGUUUAAAGGGUGCGUAGGCGGGCUUGUAAGUCAGUGGUGAAAUCUCUCAGCUUAACUGAGAAAAUGCCAUUGAUACUGCAGGCCUAGAGUAUAGAUGACGUUGGCGGAAUAUGACAUGUAGUGGUGAAAUACUUAGAUAUGUCAUAGAACACCGAUUGCGAAGGCAGCUAACGAAACUAUAACUGACGCUGAGGCACGAAAGUGCGGGGAUCAAACA
rnacentral:rRNA from 1 species